GCGGCAGGCCUAACACAUGCAAGUCGAGCGGUAGAGAGAAGCUUGCUUCUCUUGAGAGCGGCGGACGGGUGAGUAAUGCCUAGGAAUCUGCCUGGUAGUGGGGGAUAACGUUCGGAAACGGACGCUAAUACCGCAUACGUCCUACGGGAGAAAGCAGGGGACCUUCGGGCCUUGCGCUAUCAGAUGAGCCUAGGUCGGAUUAGCUAGUUGGUGAGGUAAUGGCUCACCAAGGCGACGAUCCGUAACUGGUAUGAGAGGAUGAUCAGUCACACUGGAACUGAGACACGGUCCAGACUCCUACGGGAGGCAGCAGUGGGGAAUAUUGGACAAUGGGCGAAAGCCUGAUCCAGCCAUGCCGCGUGUGUGAAGAAGGUCUUCGGAUUGUAAAGCACUUUAAGUUGGGAGGAAGGGUUGUAGAUUAAUACUCUGCAAUUUUGACGUUACCGACAGAAUAAGCACCGGCUAACUCUGUGCCAGCAGCCGCGGUAAUACAGAGGGUGCAAGCGUUAAUCGGAAUUACUGGGCGUAAAGCGCGCGUAGGUGGUUUGUUAAGUUGGAUGUGAAAUCCCCGGGCUCAACCUGGGAACUGCAUUCAAAACUGACUGACUAGAGUAUGGUAGAGGGUGGUGGAAUUUCCUGUGUAGCGGUGAAAUGCGUAGAUAUAGGAAGGAACACCAGUGGCGAAGGCGACCACCUGGACUAAUACUGACACUGAGGUGCGAAAGCGU
rnacentral:rRNA from 1 species